UACGGGGGGGGGUAAGCGUUGUUCGGAAUUACUGGGCGUAAAGGGCUCGUAGGCGGCCAACUAAGUCAGACGUGAAAUCCCUCAGCUUAACUGGGGAACUGCGUCUGAUACUGGAUGGCUUGGAUUCGGGAGAGGAAUGCGGAAUUCCAGGUGUAGCGGUGAAAUGCGUAGAUAUCAGGAGGAACACCGGUGGCGAAGGCGGGUCUCUGGGCCGAUACUGACGCUGAGGAGCGAAAAGCGUGGGGGAGCGAACAGG
rnacentral:rRNA from 1 species